UACGUAGGGAGCAAGCGUUGUCCGGAAUCAUUUGGGCGUAAAGCGCGCGUAGGCGGCCUCAUAAGUCCGUUGUGAAAGUCAAAGGCUCAACCUUUGAAAGCCGAUGGAUACUGCAGGGCUAGAGUCCGGAAGAGGCGAGUGGAAUUCCUGGUGUAGCGGUGGAAUGCGCAGAUAUCAGGAGGAACAUCAAUAGCGAAGGCAGCUCGCUGGGACGGUACUGACGCUAAGGCGCGAAAGCGUGGGGAGCGAACGAGG
rnacentral:rRNA from 1 species